AACUUAGGCAAACCUGCAGACUGGUAAGCACACACUCCUCAGCCGACCCGGGCAAGGUUCCAGUAGGACGUGUUAUGUGAUUUUUUUUUUCACACUCAGAACGUAAGUGUCAACGCUCUCGCUAUGAAGAGGAGUCACAGGAUUGGCUGGGGUGGUGAAAGUGAA
rnacentral:lncRNA from 1 species